UUAACAUUACCAAAGUACAUUGUUAAGUUGGAUGUUAAGGUGUCAGCUGGCAUGGUAAGAGGCAUGAAAUCGCGGCCACUCUGCUUCGUUGUGGUGACACACGCAUCGGAUUAAACUGUGCAUGUAAAUGUACUAGUAUGUCUAAACUAACUAGUAUGUUUACAUGCAUGGCAUAUCAGAGAAUUCUGUCAGUUCGGUCGCGGCGCAACGAAUGAAUAAAGAUCGUUAGCACUCUGAAAAACAGAUGACAGAUGUGCCCUUACUACUUUAUUACCUCGUUGAUGACCAACGUUUAGGAAAACAUGUACUUUUAAUUCACCCUUGGGUGAAAUCGAAGCGUAGUGUGUACUGAAUGCGUGUUGAUGAUGAUGCAUAUAUGAAUUGCAACUUACACGUCUUCCAAACCUUUUCAGUACCCUGGCACAUGCUUUGUCCAAUGGACCAUGGAAGGGACUUUACUUGGCUGACGAGGACGCACCUCACCAGUAUCAGAGCAACAGCUGUGGGGUGUUUAUGCUGCUGGUGAGAUGCAUUAUUUUCAGAAAUGAUGACUGAUGACUAGUUUGUAAAACAACUAACUCAUUUGUAUGUUAAUUUCAGUACACAAUGUAUUCUACCCUCAAAAGCAAUAUGAUUUCAGUGAGGUGAGUUCUUUCAAAUCUCAAUCAGAUGUGUAGCAUGAAAUAUAAGGCUUUUAAUAAUUUAGUCAUCCUUACUGGAGGCUACAAUUAACAUGCAUCAUAGGUCAUACACAUUACUUUGUCUUCAGGUACUGUACUUACGGGAGGAGAUGGCUACAUCUUCACAAUAAUUUACACUGCCAUAGUACACUGCUAAACAGUACUGUAACAUGGAUUUGUAUUAGGCUAUGAAGUCAUUUAAAGCAUAACUUUACUUUUCAGGGGGACAUGCUCUCUAUCAGGAGGUGGUGGUUGGACAGCUGUUGGAGACCUUUAUACUUGAAAGGUUUAUAUACUGUGUCCAUGUUGCUAUUUACUUAUUUUUGGUGCUCACGAAGAUCGUAGCCAAUACACUUGUCUCUCUGUCUCUAGCCCUGCAGAACUAGCUGGCUCCUUCUCACCCUCUCCAUCUCCCCAUCUCAGUCACACCUUCCAAUCACUAAGCAGUGAAAGCCCUGCAGGACUAGCUGGCACACCAAGCUCACCCUCUGCAUCUCCCCAUCUCAGCCACACGCUCCAAUCUGGCACAACAGAGGACAGGCCAUUCUUACCACCCGAAGUCCUUCAGCAAAUUGUACAAGAGACGCUGAGACUGGACAUGGCGAUGCUUGGCGUGUUCAACAGGGUUUCAAACACAUUCCGAGAACUAAUCAAGCCUCUCCAUCCAUCCAUAUAUAUAAAUGACAGUUUGGCAGGGGACAUUAAGCUUAAUAAAGACAAUCUCAUAUACAUAAAGGUUAGAAAGAUUUACAACAAUGCAGGCUGUGGCAGUGGCCUUGCGCUACGCCUCAAAGGCUUCUCAAAAAAGAAUUGGCCAAGCGCACCCCUGGUACUGAGGAACGUUGCAUAUGGCAGGUUUGUCAUAAAAGAUGUCUGCCUAGCAUAAUGUUCUUUUAUUACUCCUUUUUCAUUUUAUUUGGGACGUCUUUUUUUGCAAUCCCUUCCAUUUGUAAAUGUACAUACUACUGUAGUAAAUGUAUCUGCCCAGAAAUGCUGGUAUUUUAUUACUCCUUUCUUUUUUGUU